rnacentral:lncRNA from 1 species
CUGACAUUGCACUGGACGGUUUAAAUCUUACCUUUUGCGUUUAGGUUACUUACGGACAGCGUUCACUUUAAAUUUUUAGUAAUGUCCUUCUAACUGUGUUUCUUAGCGUGUAGAGUCUAAUCCAUCCACGCAUAAUAGCUUCAAUCAUUAUUAAAUACCACAUCUGAGGUAACUACGAUCAGUAAUCAAGAUACGUGCAAGAUCAGCAGUUGGUGAGAUGUUGCAGAUAAAAUUCAAUCUUAUUUUCUUUGCUUUUGUUUUGCUAGUUUUGGUGCAGUUCAAGACUGGACAAAGCAUUGACUCCCCCUUUUCACGAAACUCCAAUCUGGCCGCUAAUCCCGAAAACAUUCGACAAACAGCAAAUGAGGCCCUGGAAUUAUUGAGCAACAUCACGGAUCUCGUUAUUAACAAAGUCAGGAAUGGAGUCCAACAACUUACCCAGAAAAUGUCAAAUUCAACUGGAUAAAAUUAGGCAAAAUAUUGAACCUUUUUGGAAUUAAAUUAUAAAAAUAAAAUGCAAUAUAAAAGUA